AGAAGCUCCGGCGAUGGAGUUUGUGGAAUCUGGGAAAGAGCUGAGAGCGGAGAUGUAUGCAAGACUCAGUAGAGAGAACUCACUCGGUUGAGUCGACUCGGUCGAGUCUUUGAUGACGUGGCGACUCGGUCGAGUCUUUGAUGACGUGGCGACUCGAUCUGAUUUUUAUUUUUUUGUGAAUAUUGUGGUGAUUUUUCAGGUGUGUAGAUAAAUGACGUGGCGACUCGAUCUUUAGUGACGUUUCAACGGAUGAUGAAGAAAACAGCUAGGAGGAGAAUUGAGAGCUAUUCUUCUGGCUUUUUUC
rnacentral:lncRNA from 1 species